GUACUUUGCACACCUCUCCGUGGUGAGCAGCGGGCAACGCAGUAAUGAUGUACUGUGGCUAAGAGGCGAA
rnacentral:ribozyme from 1 species